UACGUAGGGGGCAAGCGUUGUCCGGAUUUAUUGGGCGUAAAGAGCGUGUAGGCGGCUAGAUAGGUCCGUUGUGAAAACUCGAGGCUCAACCUCGAGACGUCGAUGGAAACCAUCUGGCUAGAGUCCGGAAGAGGAGAAUGGAAUUCCCGGUGUAGCGGUGAAAUGCGCAGAUAUCGGGAAGAACACCCGUGGCGAAGGCGGUUCUCUGGGACGGUACUGACGCUGAGACGCGGAAAGCGUGGGGAGCAAACAGG
rnacentral:rRNA from 1 species